GGAACCGGCCGCGCCCAGCAGGGGGCAGCCCCGCACCUGCAGCUGCGCCAGACGAGCCGUGCCCCAGUGCACGCACUGCCAGCAGUUCCUGCCGUCGGCCCCACAGCCUUUCAGAGGGAUGGGGCAGGCAGCUGGAGGCAGGGAACAUUUCCAGCAUCACCACCGGACCAGCUACUGCUCGGGUCAACAGCCCACGCUCUACAAGUGUAAAACACGAGCACCUCUGAGCACGCCUAGGAUGUCUUCAACGCAGAGCAAAGCACCUGGGUUCGACAGAGCUUGGAAGCAAAGAGCACAGGAUGCAGCUGUAAGGUCCCACAUCCCCACCAGGCUUCCUAGGAGGGCUGGCUGGACUGCCCUCACAAAGCCCAACGAUAAGCGCCCAACGAUAAGCAUUUAUAGGAUUAAGUAGACAAAUUUCAGUCAACUUUAUCAACAUCCAUGAGAAUUAAUUGUUUGGGAAUACUUAAUGUGAGUAUGCAAACCUGAGACAGGCAGAAGUGAGGGAAGGACGCUACCUCCCACCCACACAAACAAAAUGGAUGCUCAAGUUUUGCUUUGCCAACUUGGCCUCAGCUUCCCCAGGUAGCCCAUAUAUACAGAAUAGAGACUGCACUUAACACCAUGUGCAAAAAAAAGCACUCUUAAAUUUGCCUAGAAAGAUUUUCUGCAUGUAUGACAAAAAUCACAGCAAUUUAAAAAUCACUGUUUUGGCACCACGUAUGGAAAGGCUGAAAACAAAUAAAUAUAACUGUAUAUUGCAGACAAAUGUGCUACUUGAGAAUAUUGCAACUAAAUAUGAAAACUGAAAGCCCAACCUAAAACUUAAACGGUAGAGAGAAAGCACGCUCUCAUAAUCCCAAAUGGAUACACACGUGUGCAUACACACACUAAAAGAGAACCAAUUUCGUUCACCAUCCAUCUCUGGCCCUGACAUUCAUUAGUAUUUCUGUGCUAACUCAAAAGCCAUUAAUUUAUCUGAAACCCACACUAAUCCCUUUGUAGUGCAGAUAAUGGGCAUCCAUUCUAGAGUCAUCUUCCCUUUCUAUUAAUCCAAUCAGGGAGGCAGCACUUCUGCAGCUCCAACUGCAAUCUCUCUCGCUUCCAUCAAGUACAGAUGACAGUUCAAGCUUCUCCAUAAUAAGACAACUCAUAACCUCCCCCCAGCCACCCCUCCUUCAUCUGCGCACAGGUUUGCUCAUCUUUUGUUGAGCUACAGAAAGGCUAGCUCUCCUUCUCUGCUUUUCACGGAGGCAACCCCUUCUCCCUUCUUCACCCCACUUCUUUCCUCAAGCUCAGCUCCACUCUCUAAAUGAGACAAAACCAGCAGCCAACUUGAUUAACAUUCAAAUGUCUCAUAUUGUUUAAGUCAGGGCAGUAGUAAUGUUGAAUCCACACACACACACCCCUUACAGCCCUCUGCUCCCAGACCUCCUCCAUGUGCAUGCAGUGUGCCAGACAAUGCCUUUCCACCCAGAGAGCAAAUGCUCCCACCUCUCCAUCCACCUUCAAAACAGAAACGGAACCUCUGCAUUUCUUCCUCCUUACAGAGACAUGGAGAGUACACUGAGGAAGUAUUUAAAAAAAAAAAGUGUAAAUACUAACAGUAAAUGGCCCACGCCUGGACCAUUUGGAGUUAACAGUUUCAAGCAAUGAGGGGGAAGGAGGCAGAAGAAAGCAGAGUAACUCUGCAGCUAAGGACGGGGCAAUAUGCUCUUCAGCAUCUCUCCUCUCCUUCGGGGAAAGAGCCAGGCACCCUGCACCCAGCACACACCUACCACUUUCCAUGCUUGGCAAUAGGAGAGGGAGCCCAAAUGUUGUCUCAGCAUAUCCAGGAGAUGCAAGUUCCUGAACAACUGACGUGUCCCAGGAAAACGUGUCCUGCUCUGCGCCAUGGAGGCAUUUCUGAUUUCAGCAAUACCAAGUAACUUGGAAAUGCCACAUUUCUGAAGGACUUUACUUUUGAGGUGGUAUUCCUGUCCGGAUUCCCUUGUGCUCAGAGACAAGCACAAGUCACAGAGCUUUCAUCAAUAGUCCUCGUCUCAAAUUCCUAUAGAACUCAGCAGAUGCCUUUCUGACCUGAAACGCUCUCUCAGAUCAGGAUGGACUGCUGUCCCACAAGGCUCCCGAGUUAUGAGAGAUGGCACUGCCAGACAUGUGGUCAGAGAGUACACAGGCGCAGAAACCUGUGCAAGUCACCUUAAAUACAAAAACAGUUUUUCUCCAACAAUUUCCCAAUUUAAGUACAGUUUUGGCAUGGCAGUCUGGACCAGAGAUAUGAGAUAGAAAAUGCCUCCAGGUUCUACUCCCAGCUCUGCCACUAACUCUGUAAGUCAAGUUGGCCAACUCAUCUUCUUGUACUUUCUGUUUACCUCCAUUCUGCAUAUUGUUUUCUGUUUACUCUCCUGUAAGCCGUAUGUUUUUGAUCACACUGUUCUCAAAGCUCUUGGGAAGUUCUCUGACAGAACACCCUCAUACUGCUGCUGCCAAAAUAAAUUAAACACAUGAGCUCCUCCUUAACAGGACUAAUGACUUGCUUGGGGGAUUAGGAACUAACUGUCCCUCCGCUGGCACGGCUAAGAUCUGUGAUGUCCACUGCCUUCCUACUUAAAACCACCAUCUUUUUCUAUCCAUUUUCCAUCUGGUUCUGCAGGUGCAUCUUUUGUGGGCAAAAGAAGUGAGAAAAUCAAAUGAAGAUGCAUUUGAUGAUCCUUGUAUAAAUCCACUCAAUUCUACUUCAAAAAGAAGGAAGAAAGAGUAUAAAAUGACUGACAAAGCUAUGAAAACAGUCAUCGGUUCACAUUAGCAGAGAUCGCUGACACCACUAAGGGAAAAGCCUUACAUACUGUAAUAGCAACUAACAUGAAAAUUCAGUUAUGAAAGUCAUCACAACAUCACUGGAAGCAAUCAGCACUGCCACAGGAGAUGAAAAACUCUAUUAAGCUUUAUGGAAUGCUGUAACAAUCUCCAUAGGACAUAACCCUCCCAACCUAACUCGCUGGUGCCUUUUACUGUAUGCCUCCUGCAUUGUCAGUUUCUUUAUGUGACCCCCUCCCAUAGCCUCCCACUGCACUUGCCUUCUCUAUUCUCCUCUGCGCCCUCCCACGGCCCCACAGGCAGGGGAGCAGACAGGGUGCUGCUGCUGCUCUCUGCCAGCCCCUGUGGCCCCUUCACUCAGAGGCUGCCCCAUGAGCAACCAGGACUGAGCCAGAAGAGGACAAGUGCAGCAUUCCCCAAAUCAGACAGAGCAGUUAGAGGGGAAGUCUGAUCUAGCAGAUGAGAUUAGGUGAUCCAAAUUACACUUCUGUCCGACCUUAGGCAAAACACCUCACCCCAUCCCUCUGUGUCCCUGCUUAGUCUUGCUGCCUUUACUGCAUAGUUUGUUUAAGCUGUAACCUCUUGGGAGAAGGGGCUGCCCCUUGCUAGAUGCACAGACAGCCCUUGGCGCUUACGGACCCCAGCCCAGUGGAGGGCAUCCAACUCAUAUUGGAUUUUAAACAAUUUUGCCUCCUCAAAUCUUGAAAGGCUCCAAACCUCUGCAAGUACAGCUUUUCCUCGCCUACCUUUUAAUGCUGAAAAUAGAUUGGCCUCUGGGGGCACUGGAUGCUCCAACUGGCUGGGUGCUUUCUGGGAUUAUUUCCAAGUAGUUUGAGGCUUCCUGCUCUCCAGAGAGGAACGUGCCAAGUGUUGUUUUUGCACAUCUGCCUUUUGGAUGGCUACACUAUUGUUUUCUACACAAUACCACACAGCUAUAACGCUCUACCAUCCCUGUAGCAAUUGGUCCAUCCCGGCUGUGCAUCUUCUACGUACUGCUGACAGAAGACAGUGCUAAUGGAGUGUUUUUGCAAGACCACAAAUAGUAAUUAAGACUUCACAAACGUCCCUGGUAGACCGGAAAGGAGCUGGGCUUUAUGUGGCCAUCAGCAGUAUGUCAGCGUGAGGGCUUCACAUCAUACCUCAGAAUUUCACAUUGCUCAAGAUCUCUGGCUACCUCCACUCUGCAGCAGCUCCCUUACUAAGCACAACCUCUCCAUUUUCUGUCCAGCUGUCUCUGAGGCUCCUUCCCGAGCACGACAACAGUGGCAGUUGAUGGCUCUGCCAUCUCUUGCUCUGUGACCCACUGCCAGGAACCUGCUCAGCACAGCAAUAUGUACUGCUACAUGCUGCAAGAGCUAGCAACGUAGGCACAGAGACGGUGUCAGCCACUGCUGCUGCUGAAGACAAGGAUAACUGGC
rnacentral:lncRNA from 1 species